GGGCUGGAUGGGGUGCACCGGCUGGAACACCGCCUUCUUCCUCACAUCCGAGUGUGCCUUUACUGCAGGGAGCAGCUGGUUCCGCUUGAUCAUCUGCAAGGCCAGCUGCGUGUUACCUGGAAAAACACAGUCCAUCAAGGAGAACCAGGGAGAUGGCAGAUACACCAAACCUCUCGAGCACUUUGAAGGUCAACACGCUGAAGAGACUCCCUCACCGUUCUGCAGUUCCAGGUAGACAGCCAGCAGGACAGCCUCAGGGGGCACCUCUUUAGGAUGGGUCAUCGAUGCGGCCUUGCCCAUGAGAGACACCAGAGAGAAACAACAGUUUAAGAUCCAACUCCAAGUUUCACAACAGACACAAAGCCCCCAGAGACAUUGUCCAUGAGACGCUGGCAAGCUGACUCCAGAGUCCUGUUCUCAGGACCCCUUGGCGCCCAUACUGUCUCCCCGCUGCCUUUGCUUUCACAGUGUCUCAUCCUGUAGCCCAGGAUGGCCUCACACUGAGUGUCCUGUGCUUGGAGCUACUGUGCUUGGCUAUUUGUGGCCAGAAGGGGAUGACAGGUCUUCAAUACAGAGUGAUGUCUCUGCCUCAUACCUGGGUACAGGAACACGACGCCUCACUCAGCAUGGCCUUUCCUGGAAGCCUACCGACUAUUAAACUCACGGUGUAUUUCUCU